rnacentral:rRNA from 1 species
UACGUAGGCAGCAAGCGUUGUUCGGAGUUACUGGGCGUAAAGGGUGUGUAGGCGGUUGGAUAAGUGUGGUGUGAAAUCUCCCGGCUUAACUGGGAGGGUGCGCUACAAACUGUCUGACUAGAGUGUGGGAUGGGUAAGUGGAAUUCCUGGUGUAGCGGUGAGAUGCGUAGAUAUCAGGAGGAACACCGGUGGUGUAGACGGCUUACUGGACCAUAACUGACGCUGAGACACGAAAGCGUGGGUAGCAAACAGG